GUUUCUGAGAGCUUUUGGAGGGGAAGGAGCAAGAGAAAUCGGCAUAUAAAUAACUACUUUUAAAAAGAUGGAUAUGUGAGGAAGAUUUCAGCCAUGUCUGCAAAUGUGAGGAAGACAGAGGUUUGGGAGAAAGGGAAUGGAACAAGAUUUAACAACAUAAACAGCCAAAAGGAGCACUAGGGUUUCGACUAUCAUGGAAGAGAUAAUUUGGACACCAUAAAAGACAAAGAGAAAAAUAUUUCGGCAGCUAUAUCAAAAUGACUAAACAGUACAAGAGGAUGCUGAUACAAAGGUAUCAAAAACCUCUAAAUAAGGUGUGGAACAGAAGAUGGAGGAAAGGAACAGAAGGUGGGAGAAGCAACUCGGCAGGUCUGCCCUCCCGGAUGCACGGUCCCUAUGCCCCUAAUUAACAUUCUGCGUGCAGGCAGGGAUUUCAAACAUCAAUGGGAAUUACUGGCAUAUUAACCAAACUCUGUCUUCCAAAUUGUAAGAUGGUCCAAGGUACGAUGCUACGACUUCAGGGGAGAGGGAAAAGGCAAAGCAAUUGUUUUCUUCACAAAAAGCAUAUACAUUAGUAUUUUUGAAUUAAAUUUUUCUUUUGCUUGUAAUUGUCAGUUAUAAUUUUCUAGUUUGGGAUGUUAAUGCAGAAAAAGCAGUGAUCCCCACAUUUUAUAAUAGAUGAGAUGAUUCUAGUGAAUAGAAUUUUUAGAGUUUACUUCAAGAUUCCUCAGGAGGAAAAAUGUCCUAAACACACCAGAGGGGUUUUCGUGAUCCAAAUAAAAGUACCUGUUUGCUUCUCGAAGGUCAUUUUCCAGGGCUUGGGUC